AUCUGACAAAUACUAAAUAACACAGCUGAAUGAGGAAAGUUAUGACCCAAAUGACUGCAUACUUUAAUAAUCCCAUAUUAAAAUAGAAAAUGUCACAUAAAUUGAGCUGAUUUGAAAUAUUUUUAUUAGAAAAUAAAAGCUAUGUCCAUUUAAACCAUCAUUCCUAAAACACCUACCAAACAAUAUAAUUAUUACCUUAAAUCCCAAAUGAUAAUACAAUCUUUUCUAUCCACAUUAUCUUCCCCAUUGGUUGAUACAGUACAUCUGAUCCUUCCAUGACAUAUACAAUGGCCAUUAAGGAUGACAGUUAACAGUAGUUAUGUAUAUACAGUGAAAAUAGUAAAACUGACCACACACACAAUUGAAUAUUCUCAUUGAGGAGAGGGUCAAUAAAAAUAAUGGUUAAAACCAAUACAUAAUUUUAUCUGUUCAAUCACUUGCUGUCUUUAGCAGUAAAAGUCAAACAACACACAUGUAUUAUUUUUUUCCAUAAAGUCUUCACAUGUUGAAACUACUUUUUAAUCCAGGUGCAGAUAACUAACAAUGAAAAGACAUUUCAUCUUCUUUCUUACAUCCAGGGACUUUAUCAGACUUAAAUUCACUAGGUGCAUGGAAAGAGCAGUAACUGAAAAGGCAAUUUGACCAUAAACUGUUUGCAAGACAGAAGUGUUCUAUUUUAAGGCCAUAACUAGAGAACUCUUCUCAAAGUUCUUAUAUGCUCAGAAAUACCCAAGAUUCUCAAUUCUAGAAAAAAUAA
rnacentral:lncRNA from 1 species